GAUGAACGCUGGCGGCGUGCCUAAUACAUGCAAGUCGAGCGAACAGACGAGGAGCUUGCUCCUCUGACGUUAGCGGCGGACGGGUGAGUAACACGUGGAUAACCUACCUAUAAGACUGGGAUAACUUCGGGAAACCGGAGCUAAUACCGGAUAAUAUAUUGAACCGCAUGGUUCAAUAGUGAAAGACGGUUUUGCUGUCACUUAUAGAUGGAUCCGCGCCGCAUUAGCUAGUUGGUAAGGUAACGGCUUACCAAGGCGACGAUGCGUAGCCGACCUGAGAGGGUGAUCGGCCACACUGGAACUGAGACACGGUCCAGACUCCUACGGGAGGCAGCAGUAGGGAAUCUUCCGCAAUGGGCGAAGGCCUGACGGAGCAACGCCGCGUGAGUGAUGAAGGUCUUCGGAUCGUAAAACUCUGUUAUUAGGGAAGAGCAAAUGUGUAAGUAACUAUGCACGUCUUGACGGUACCUAAUCAGAAAGCCACGGCUAACUACGUG
rnacentral:rRNA from 1 species